UAUAGAAGAGAUCCUGCUUCCCUUAACUCGGUUUUAUGUGCAGCAUUUGAAAUAUAUUUAUUGUUAAUAGAAUUUAAAUGUCAAACAUUUAUGAUUCAUUUAAAUAGCAAGUGAGUUUUCAAUGCAAUUACCAAUAAUUAAUUAAAUAUCAACACACGCAUAUGAAAUACAUUAGCAUUAAAAUAAUAUUGUUUGAAAAUCACCAACAUGGCGAAGGAGCAAAUCAGAAUUUGCUUCCAGAAUACGACGGACCCACUCAGCAUAGCAGCAUACUAGAGCAGAAAAAAGAUUCCCAACAUCGUAAAGGAAAAAUCCCCACCGAGCGGAUGCUGUUUUAUUUCGGCAAAAUGCACGCAAAGUUGUACAAGGUGAUGAGCUUUCUGGUGCAGGAACGGCAGGAACUCUUGCGCGACAUCGAAUAACUCUGUUCGAUUCGCCUUGAUCCACCCUGCAAAAAUGGAGGUGCCGUCGUUCAUCACUCAGCAUUCGAGCAUGCAAUGAUGAAUAAAAAUCUUCCCAACAUCCAAAAUCUUGGAUCACAUUGAUGGAGGUAA